GACUUCUCUUGCGCAUUUUGCGCAAAUGUCUCCUCACCAUUAUGCUCUUCAGCUAUUGUGAACAUCGGAGGAUCCAAACGUGAGGUAAAAUGGAUCGUCUGAAACGAGCCCAUGCCAUGAAGACAAAAAUGAGGUCCAUCACAGGACGGACGACGUCAGUGGCUCAGAGACACUCGUCACACAGUCAGCAGCGCAGAUCACAGCCUGUUUGGCAGCUGGGAGUCCCGUCUAAGGAAGGCCACCCUUGAGGCUAAUGCAGUUCAAACAAUAACUGUACUAAUGAAGACUAACAUACAACAAUGACGUGUCACCCGGAGUUCUCCUAUGUUUCUCUGUGUUCUGAAGCACAUGUCCGUACAGCGUGGGGUUGGUCCGGUGGUGAGCCACCUUUCGAGCAUAGUACCUCCUGGAUGCGGC